AGAGUUUGAUCCUGGCUCAGAUUGAACGCUGGCGGCAUGCCUAACACAUGCAAGUCGAACGGUAACAGGCCGCUGUGAUCCCUUCGGGGUGAACUUGGCGCUGACGAGUGGCGGACGGGUGAGUAAUGCUUGGGAAUCUGCCCAGUAGUGGGGGACAACACGAGGAAACUCGUGCUAAUACCGCAUACGUCCUACGGGAGAAAGUGGGGGAUCUUCGGACCUCACGCUAUUGGAUGAGCCCAAGUCGGAUUAGCUUGUUGGUGAGGUAAAGGCUCACCAAGGCGACGAUCCGUAGCUGGUCUGAGAGGACGAUCAGCCACACUGGGACUGAGACACGGCCCAGACUCCUACGGGAGGCAGCAGUGGGGAAUAUUGGACAAUGGGGGCAACCCUGAUCCAGCAAUGCCGCGUGUGUGAAGAAGGCCUGCGGGUUGUAAAGCACUUUCAGUAGAGAAGAAAAGCCCACGGCUAAUACCCGUGAGUCUUGACGUUACCUACAGAAGAAGCUCCGGCUAACUCCGUGCCAGCAGCCGCGGUAAUACGGAGGGAGCGAGCGUUAAUCGGAAUUACUGGGCGUAAAGCGCGCGUAGGCGGCUUUGUAAGUCGGAUGUGAAAGGCCUGGGCUCAACCUGGGGAUUGGCAUCCGAUACUGCAAAGCUAGAGUAUGGUAGAAGGGAGUGGAAUUUUCCGUGUACCGGU
rnacentral:rRNA from 1 species